GCGGGUAUGAUGUAGUGGUAGCUUGUCAGCUUCCCAAGCUGAUCGUGCGGGUUCGAUUCCCGCUACCCGCUCCA
rnacentral:tRNA from 13 species